UAGAGUUUGAUCCUGGCUCAGAGUGAACGCUGGCGGUAGGCCUAACACAUGCAAGUCGAACGGCAGCACAGUAAGAGCUUGCUCUUACGGGUGGCGAGUGGCGGACGGGUGAGGAAUGCAUCGGAAUCUACUCUGUCGUGGGGGAUAACGUAGGGAAACUUACGCUAAUACCGCAUACGACCUACGGGUGAAAGCAGGGGAUCUUCGGACCUUGCGCGAUUGAAUGAGCCGAUGCCCGAUUAGCUAGUUGGCGGGGUAAGAGCCCACCAAGGCGACGAUCGGUAGCUGGUCUGAGAGGAUGAUCAGCCACACUGGAACUGAGACACGGUCCAGACUCCUACGGGAGGCAGCAGUGGGGAAUAUUGGACAAUGGGCGCAAGCCUGAUCCAGCCAUACCGCGUGGGUGAAGAAGGCCUUCGGGUUGUAAAGCCCUUUUGUUGGGAAAGAAAAGCAUUCGGUUAAUACCCGAUUGUUCUGACGGUACCCAAAGAAUAAGCACCGGCUAACUUCGUGCCAGCAGCCGCGGUAAUA
rnacentral:rRNA from 1 species